GGGCAUUGAUGAGGAAAAUUAUACCAUCAAACUUUGAGAGCUCAAAGCGAGCUUGUUGAUGUAAAUUAGUCAUUAUUCUCUGAGCCC